CCUACGGGGGACAGCAGUGAGGAAUAUUGGUCAAUGGACGAGAGUCUGAACCAGCCAAGUAGCGUGAAGGAUGACUGCCCUAUGGGUUGUAAACUUCUUUUAUAUGGGAAUAAAACAGGGUAUGCAUACCCUCUUGUAUGUACCAUAUGAAUAAGGAUCGGCUAACCUCGUGCCAGCAGCCGCGGUAAUACGGAGGAUCCGAGCGUUAUCCGGAUUUAUUGGGUUUAAAGGGAGCGUAGGUGGAUUGUUAAGUCAGUUGUGAAAGUUUGCGGCUCAACCGUAAAAUUGCAGUUGAAACUGGCAGUCUUGAGUACAGUAGAGGUGAGCGGAAUUCGUGGUGUAGCGGUGAAAUGCUUAGAUAUAACGAAGAACUCCGAUUGCGAAGGCAGCUCACUGGACUGCAACUGACACUGAUGCUCGAAAGUGAGGGUAGCAAACAGGAUUAGAUACCCGAGUAGUC
rnacentral:rRNA from 1 species